CUCACUACCAUGUAUGUGUGAGGGACAGGAACGCGGGUCGGAUGUGAUGUCUCUCUCCUCACCUCCCAAUUCUAUAUAUUAUUGUUUUUCGUUAAGGGGGAAAUUGGAGACAAGAAUUUGGAGGAAGAGAAGGAGAUGUCCAAGAGGAUGUCACAUAACAAUAAAUCGAACUGCCCGACCCGUAACCUCUGUUCCCGACGCAAUUAAAUCAAGCCGUGAUUUUAACCACUGGUGUCAUGUUAGGAUAGAUGUCCGGAAACAUCGUUCUCCCCUGCACCGACUGAGGUGAAGAGGUCGAAUAGUUGAGAAUACUAUAAAAACUGUCGUGAGAAACCUUUCGGGGGGAACCUGAGUCAGAGAAGACGAAGAAGGAGUAAGCGACCCAUUUUC
rnacentral:lncRNA from 1 species